GUUAGUCAGUAAGGAGUUUGGAACUCAUGUUUAGCAAAACAGGAGAUGUUACAAGUCAACAACAUACAUUCUACAUGUGACCACUCGUCAUGUCCUUAUAUUGUUUGAACCAAGAAAGACUUAGGUGUGUUUCAUAUAAGGUCCUCAUAUUUUCUGAACCAGAUUAGUGUGUGUUACAAUGUUAAUGUCCAAGCUUUAAAAUGAGUGUCUCAAUUCAGGUCCUCAUAUUUUCUGAACCCGAUUUUAGUGUGUUUUAUAUUCUUAAUUAAUUGUCUAAGAGCUGAAACUCUGUAAUAAUCUUUACUAUUUAUCUGGCAUUGUAUGCUGAGAGUUUCAUCAACAAAAAGUGCUGAUAAUGUUAUAAUUAAUUAGUUCUGACAUUAUAUUUUUGUGUUUUGUUGCAGAAACCAACUGUUGAGGUUCCAUCUCAACAUUCUCCGGAUUCAGAUGUGAGCCAUUAACUGACUUCAUCCCUCCAACAGAAACCAACUGUUUGAGGUUCUAUCUCAACAUUCUCUAGAUUCAGAUGACAGCCAUAAACCGACUUCAUCCCUCCAACAGAUUGACAGCAGGACAAAUCGCUGGAAGUGGGUAUGUCUCAAGCUUCUUCCACUUGGUCCACUCCAAAGCGGGGUAAAUAAAUAAUCCACAUCAUUUACUAGAAUAUUAUAUUACGUUUUGCACCUUUUCACUGUGUUAUAGUCAUUUUUCCUUCAGUAAGAAAUUGUAUUUUGU